rnacentral:rRNA from 1 species
GACAUAGGUGGCGACCGUUAUCCGGAUUUAUUGGGCGUAAAGGAUGCGUAGAUGGUGGAAUAAGUUACUGGUCAAGGCCAGGCUUAACUUGGCGGAAGCUAGUAAUACUGUUCUGCUUGAGGAUAGGAGAGGUUGGCGGAACUCUAUGUGGAGGGGUGAAAUCCGUUGAUAUAUAGAAGAACACCAAAAGGGCGAAGGCAGCCAACUAUUCUACUCCUGACAUUGAGGCAUGAAAGCGUGGGGAGCAAACCGG